rnacentral:rRNA from 1 species
GCCCGCACAANCGGNNGAGUAUGUGGUUUAAUUUGAUUCAACGCGAAGAACCUUACCUUNCCUUGACAUGUCGAGAUCUUUCCANAGAUGGAUAGGUGCAUUUGGGAACUAGAACACAGGUGCUCCAUGGCUGUAGUCAGCUCGUGUCGUGAGAUGUUGGGUUAAGUCCCGCAACGAGCGCAACCCUUCUCCUUAGUUCCCAGCACGUAAUGGUGGGACCUUUAAGGAGACCGCCGGUGACAAACCGGAGGAAGGUGGGGAUGACGUCAAGUCAUCAUGGCCCUUUCGGCCAGGGNUACACACGUACUACAAUGGUAGGGACAGAGGGGUGCAAGCCGGCGACGGUAAGCCAAUCCCAGAAACCCUAUUUCANUCCNGAUUGGAGUUUGCAACUCGACUCCAUGAANUCNGAAUCGCUAGUAAUCGCAGAUCAGCAUUGNUGCGGUGAAUACGUUCCCGGGCCUUGUACACACCGCCCGUCACACCAUGGGAGUUUGUUGCA